GAUGAACGCUGGCGGCGUGCCUAAUACAUGCAAGUCGAGCGAACGGACGUGAAGCUUGUUUCUCUGAUGUUAGGGGCGGACGGGUGAGUAACACGUGGAUAACCUACCUAUUAGACUGGGAUUACUUCGGGAAACCGGAGCUAAUACCGGAUAAUAUUUUGAACCGCAUGGUUCAACAGUGAAAGACGGUCUUGCUGUCACUUAUAGAUGGAUCCGCGCUGCAUUAGCUAGUUGGUAAGGUAACGGCUUACCAAGGCAACGAUGCAUAGCCGACCUGAGAGGGUGAUCGGCCACACUGGAACUGAGACACGGUCCAGACUCCUACGGGAGGCAGCAGUAGGGAAUCUUCCGCAAUGGGCGAAAGCCUGACGGAGCAACGCCGCGUGAGUGAUGAAGGUCUUCGGAUCGUAAAACUCUGUUAUUAGGGAAGAACAUAUGUGUAAGUAACUGUGCACAUCUUGACGGUACCUAAUCAGAAAGCCACGGCUAACUACGUG
rnacentral:rRNA from 1 species